AGCGAACGCUGGCGGCAGGCCUAACACAUGCAAGUCGAACGAACUCUUCGGAGUUAGUGGCGGACGGGUGAGUAACACGUGGGAACGUGCCUUUUGGUUCGGAAUAACUCAGGGAAACUUGUGCUAAUACCGAAUGUGCCCUUCGGGGGACAGAUUUAUCGCCAUUAGAGCGGCCCGCGUCUGAUUAGCUAGUUGGUGAGGUAACGGCUCACCAAGGCGACGAUCAGUAGCUGGUCUGAGAGGAUGACCAGCCACACUGGGACUGAGACACGGCCCAGACUCCUACGGGAGGCAGCAGUGGGGAAUCUUGCGCAAUGGGCGAAAGCCUGACGCAGCCAUGCCGCGUGAAUGAUGAAGGUCUUAGGAUUGUAAAAUUCUUUCACCGGGGACGAUAAUGACGGUACCCGGAGAAGAAGCCCCGGCUAACUUCGUG
rnacentral:rRNA from 1 species